rnacentral:lncRNA from 8 species
AUGGCCUCUUCCUUCUCCUCCUCCUCCUUCUGUCGAGCUAGCACGGCCAUGAUGAUCUUCCUCUCCUCCUCCGUCAGAUGGCUCAGGUCCGGCUCGGGCAUGGACGCCGGCACGACGGGUGGACGCGCGCCGCCCGGAGGGCCCACCGAGGCGGACAUCUUCUCCCCCUCUCUUUGGCGGCUAGGAUCACUGACAGAAAUCCCGCUGGCAGAGCCCACGGAUCACGACAUGGCCCAUGGACGAAGCAACGGCUCGGCUCCAAAUAAAGACUCUUCACACCUACCACCCUUCUCUUCAGACCACUCAGACCCACACCUACCACCCUUCUCUUCAGACCACUCAGACCCACACCUACCACCCUUCUCUUCAGACCACUCAGACCCACACCUACCACCCUUCUCUUCAGACCAUUCAGAUCCACACCUACCACCCUUCUCUUCAGACCACUCAGACCCACACCCACCACCCUUCUCUUCAGACCACUCUGACCCACACCUACCACCCUUCUCUUCAGACCACUCAGACCCACACCCACCACCCUUCUCUUCAGACCACUCAGACCCACGCCUACCACCCUUCUCUUCAGACCACUCAGACCCACACCCACCACCCUUCUCUUCAGACCACUCAGACCCACACCUACCACCCUUCUCUUCAGACCUACGGCUGACAUCUUUAGUCUCUCUAUCUCUCUCUCUUUCUUUCUAUCCAUCCUCUUGAUACAGAUCUCUUGAUCCAUCCUCUGGCUGCAUUUUAAAAUGUCUCCUGGCUCCAGCCGUAAGCUGUGUCCUAGUUGUAACACAUCAAUAGGAGUAGCAUCAAAGAAGUGCACGUUCUGUGGUGCAACAAUACAGCUAAAGGUCAAGUUAGAGGCCCAAAAAAGGAAGGCUACAGAUGAAUGGGAAAAUAAGACAAUGAAACAUGGAAGGUAUGCAACCUUGGUUAAUGCAGCAAACAAGCUGGUAAGCUUUAUUAUGUUUUCCUCUAAAAAGAUUUCUGCAUUUCUAGCUUAGGGAUAUGAUACUGUAACGCCCUGGCCAUAGAGAGGGUUUUUUUGUUCUUUAUUUUGGUUAGGCCAGGGUGUUACAUUGGGUGGGCGUUCUAUGUUCCUUUUUCUAUGUUUUGGUAUUUCUUUGUUUUGGGCCAUGUGUGUGGCUCCCAAUCAGGCACAGGUGGUGCUCAUUGCUGCUGAUUGGGAGUCACACAUAAGGAGCAUGUUUUGCCUUUGGGUUUUGUGGGUAAUUGUUUCUUGUUUAGUGUGGUUGCACCUGACAGGACUGUUGGUUGUCAGUUUCCUUGUUUUUGUAUAGUGUU